ACCUGGAUCAUCUUAUGUACUAGUACUUAUUUUAAAUUUGAGAUUCUAGUGUUUUUAUUAGACUUAAAUAAUAUUUUGAUUUUGUAGGUGGGUGAUUUGAAAUAGAGAUUUAAUUAGCUUUAAAAGCCAUAGUGUGUUCUCCCAUGCUAUGCUACUAUGCUCUGUAUUGGUAUUACAAUUGCUCUGAAAGAGUCUUAAACACCGACUCAACACUCUUUGUAUAAAGCAAUGAAUGAAAAGAAAGGCCCUCACACUGCACUUUGUAAUUGCAAUAUUUACUCCAAAUUUCCUCAUUCUGCAUACUUCUUGGGAUUUUUCCAAACAAUUAAUACAUUUCCUGGCCACAAUUUACACUCUUUCUUCUACCCAACAAUUCAAUUCAAUUCAUUUUCUCUCUCUAAUUCAUUCACCCUAUACCCUCUUCCCUCCACCUCUCUCCCUCAAUUUAAUUAAGCUUUAAAUCACCCCCUUCAAUUUUUCUUAUAUAAAAUGGCCUACAUGUUCCAACCACUUCACACAGUUCACUUUCUUGCUGCCGGAGCUUAUUAUAAUAAUCACCUUUAGCAACACUUUCCUCUUCCUCCUUCAUCAACCCUCUUUUUUAAGGUAACAUACUUUUGCAGAAAGAAAAGGAGCAAAAAACAAUGAGUCGAAGAAAUGGAAGUGGUCCAAAGCUUGACUUGAAACUGAACCUAUCACCACCAAGGGCUGACCACAGAAGAGUUGAAUCAUCACCAACAAGAUCAGCAACAGUUUCACCAACAUCACCACCAAGCUCAUGUGUCUCAACUGAGCUAAACCAAGAAGAUGGAAACAACCAGCAGAGACACUCUAACAGCCCUGAAGCUACUUCCAUGGUUUUAGUUGGUUGCCCUCGUUGUCUUAUGUAUGUCAUGCUUUCUGAAGAUGAUCCAAAGUGUCCCAAAUGCAAAAGCACUGUUUUGCUUGAUUUUCUCCAUGAAAAUAACAACAAAAGGAGGAAUUAAGUGCAUGUUUGGAAUUACGGUGAGUUAGUUCGAUGAUAUCAAUCACAGUAGUACCUGUCGUUAAUUUUGUUGAAACUCGAAAGUAUAGGUUUUGACAAAAUUACGGUAGCAUAUAAGUGAUUAUAAUAAACUCGCCGUCUAGACAUGCACUUAUAAGUAUAGACUAUCCUGUUGCCAGUUCUGCAUUCUCUACUACUUGUAGGACAUUUUAGCUUUUAACCUAGGAAUCUCCAUUUCAAUAUGUUUCUUUUCUAUUAUUAGUUUUAAUUCUUGUCUAUGUUUUUAUUUAUUUUAGCCAUUUCUAUGAAUAGUGCUACUUGCACUCCACUUUUUCCAUUUCUUACAUCUACUUGUGAGGUAGAAAAAUCACAAAAUCUUGUUAAAGCAAGAAAAGUAGAUAGAUAUAAGAGUGGAGCGUAAAUAGCACUAUUCAAGUUAUUCUAUAUAGAAUCUAGAAGUAAAACUAGUCAGAAAUAUGGGAAUGUUAGGGGAAGUCUAUGUAAAAUCUAUGUGGGAUUGGGUUCAACUUUUCUGCUUUUUAGCAGCAAAGAUGUAAUAGGACUUACCCUUUCAGGUGCCAUCUUAGUAUGUUUAUUGAAAUUUUAGAUCAAA